AGAGUUUGAUCCUGGCUCAGGAUGAAUGCUGGCGGCGUGCCUUAGGUAUGCAAGUCGAGCGAGCCCGCAAGGGCUAGCGGCGGACGGGUGAGUAAUGCAUCGGAACGUGCCCUAAAGUGGGGAAUAACUAGCCGAAAGGUUAGCUAAUACCGCAUGUGACCUCCGGGUCAAAGCAGCAAUGCGCUUUAGGAUCGGCCGAU
rnacentral:rRNA from 1 species